rnacentral:misc_RNA from 1 species
GAUGAAGAACGUAGCAAAAUGCGAUAAGUAAUGUGAAUUGCAGAAUUCAGUGAAUCAUCGAAUCUUUGAACGCACAUUGCGCCCGCCAGUAUUCUGGCGGGCAUGCCUGUUCGAGCGUCAUUUCAACCCUCAAGCACAGCUUGGUGUUGGGACUCGCGUUAAUUCGCGUUCCCCAAAUUGAUUGGCGGUCACGUCGAGCUUCCAUAGCGUAGUAGUAAAACCCUCGUUACUGGUAAUCGUCGCGGCCACGCCGUUAAACCCCAACUUCUGAAUGUUGACCUCGGAUCAGGUAGGAAUACCCGCUGAACUUAAGCAUAUCAAUAAGCGGAGA